AGUAGUCACGUAGUUUGACUCCGUCGGCUACAGAACGACGCUGGCGGCAUGCCUAACACAUGCAAGUCGAACGAGACCUUCGGGUCUAGUGGCGCACGGGUGCGUAACGCGUGGGAAUCUGCCCUUUGCUUCGGAAUAACAGUUAGAAAUGACUGCUAAUACCGGAUGAUGUCUUCGGACCAAAGAUUUAUCGGCAAAGGAUGAGCCCGCGUAGGAUUAGGUAGUUGGUGGGGUAAAGGCCUACCAAGCCGACGAUCCUUAGCUGGUCUGAGAGGAUGAUCAGCCACACUGGGACUGAGACACGGCCCAGACUCCUACGGGAGGCAGCAGUGGGGAAUAUUGGACAAUGGGCGAAAGCCUGAUCCAGCAAUGCCGCGUGAGUGAUGAAGGCCUUCGGGUCGUAAAGCUCUUUUACCAGGGAUGAUAAUGACAGUACCUGGAGAAUAAGCUCCGGCUAACUCCGUG
rnacentral:rRNA from 1 species